rnacentral:tRNA from 2 species
GCGCCGGUAGUCUAGUGGUAGGACAUGGGCCUUCCAAGCCCAUAGCCCGGGUUCAAAUCCCGGUCGGCGCA